GAAAAGUUGAACCUGCCUCCCAAACUUUCUCCUGUAGUCCAGACGGGGACGCCCUGAGGGAGCGUUUGUGUCAGUAAUGGGAAAUCUGCAAGCUAGACGGAAAUGACCUGCUAGUGAUUGCGCUGUAAAGAAGCCGGAAUCCACCUCUUGAAGGCAUGAAGUUCAGGUGCUGGACACUUUUUGAUUGUCUUUCGCUCAUACAAAAAAAAAAAUGAACCACUGGACACAAUGGCUUCUGCUAGUAAUCCCAACACUUUGGGAGGCUGAGACAGGAGGAUCGCUUGAGGCCAGGAGUCAGAGACAAACCUGGGCAACAUAGUGUGAUUCCAUCUUUACAAAAAAAAAAAUUUUAACUUAGCUGGGCAUGGUUGUGUACACCUGUAGUCCCAGCUAUAUGGGAGGUUGAGAUGGAAGGAUUGGUUAAGCCCAGGAGUUUGAAUUUGCAGUGAACUAUGGUCGUGCCACAGCACUCCAGCCUGGAUGACAGAGUGAGACUCUGAAUCUGACUAAAAAGAAAAAAAAAAAAAGAUUAGCCCUUUUGUAUCAAGACAGACAUUUUGGGAAAUUGCAUCGUGCCAUGGAAAAAUAGAGUUGGAAUUCAGAGGAUACCUGGAUUUUAUUCCUUGCUACAUUGGACAAGUUACUUAAAACUCUCUGAGCCUCAGUUUCCUUUUCUAAUAGACAUAAUAACUCUACCUCGCAGAUGUGUUAUGAGGAUUAAAUGGAAAAUGCCUAUGCAUU
rnacentral:lncRNA from 1 species